AAGGCCAUCUCCUCCUCUAGGAGGUGGGAGCACCUCUUGGUGGUUUCAAUAUCCUCUUAGCUAUUUGAACCUUGAAGGUCAAGACCUAAGGGAUGGAGGUCAUGAACUCGAUGAGACUCCUAGCCUGUCAUGGUGAAGACCCCUAGCCUGUCAUGGAAACUUCCAGCAGAUGUAUAUUUUGAGACGUUCCGGUCACUAGGUGUGGCUGUCUUUCUACUAGUCCGAGCCAGACAAGGGCAAUGAGAGAUGGACCAGCAGAAAGGAUGAGGGCAGAGGCUGCCGUGAGGGCAACAGAGUGAGAACUGACAUCCUGAGGGUGGGAGUGGAUGAUAACUUAUCACUGAAGGGACCUGUGUCCCUGCAGGGCUCAAGGAGAAGCUGGGCUCAGAGGAGCCUGGCUGAUGGCCUUCAAAACAAGAAAAGAUCUGUUGCUUUGGUCAAGAACAGUGUGGGGAAGAGAAGAACUCGGAAGAACAGGGUGGUUCCUUCCAACUCUGGCUCCCCUUGCUUUCACUAUGGUGAACACGGAUCUCAUUGGGCAGGCUAGAGCUGAGGGUGGUGACCCAGUGGAGAGCGUGAGGAGAGGUGGUGGUGGCUGAUGGCGAGAACAUGGAUCCAAGCCCUUGGCGACAUUGAAAACAUGGAACCCCCCCUCUCUUCCUGGUCCCCGUACUCCCCUUCGGACAGCGGUGUUGGGCCGCGCCUUCGGUGGCCCUGUAAUAUCAACUCAACAAUGCAUGUUCUACAACUACAGCUACAGCUACCAGGACAUCUACUACAGUGCAUGCAUUUAGUUCAGUCCCACAGAUACAUACAAUCUAAGAACAGGCAAGGGAGGUGUGAAAUGUUUUACUAGACAACAGGUGUUUUGGAGUUGUAACUGAUAAAAAAAAAGAGAGAGAGAGAAACGUAAAGUGUACAAAAAAAAAGAGAGAGAGAGAGACAUUUCUCGAGAGUUGGAUAUGAGUUUGUUUCUUGAACUGUUUCAUCUGAACAAGCAAAACAUGCAAACCAGCUGAUACUAACAGGAAGCUGGACACUGAGAGAGGUUAACAGGUGUGGACAAACCUUCCUGCUGAGCGUGCUCAGAAGAGUGUCUGAGAGGACGUGUGCAGGUCCUAGUGUAAGAGAGGCGGGAAAGUUUGCCUCAGACACUCUCUCUCACCGCAGCCCCAACCAAGCAAGAGAAAAGACAACAGAAACAUGACUGCUCACACUCACCACCACCGUCAGGAGCUUAUGUCACUAGACUGGAAUAAAGCCGGCAAGUAUAAAGUACAGUACGGGGUCCUGGCUGGGGCCGGGGCAGGGGCCGGGGGAGGGAGUGGACACCGGGGGAGGGGUGCUCUGCAAGCUCGAAGAGUAAUACACGGACCCACCAAUGAGGUCACCCCCAAAUAAAAUUGGCACCAUUUUUUUUCCUCGGGUUGGGGGUCGGGGUGGGGUGGGGAGAGGAGUUGUCAGCGGUGGGGAGAGGAGUUGUCAGCAGUCCAACCGGAUUUAUGUUUGGAUGGGACGUGAUGGGGGCGGAGCCGCUGGAACUGGAUGGACACAAUCAAAAUAAACAAACUCUCGACUGAG
ensembl:antisense Gm15893 predicted gene 15893